rnacentral:rRNA from 1 species
AACGAACGCUGGCGGCAGGCCUAAUACAUGCACGUCUAGCGAGCGGCGGACGGGUGAGUAAUGUCUGGGAAACUGCCUGAUGGAGGGGGAUAACUUCUGGAAACGGUAGCCAAUACCGCAAACCAUCACAUUUGCCCAGAUGGGCUUCGCUAGUAGGGUGGGUAACGGCUCACCUAGUCGACGUUCCCUAGCUGGUCUGAGAGGAUGACCAGCAACACUGGAACGGAGACACGGUCCAGACUCCUACGGGAGGCAGCGGUGGGGAAUAUUGCACAAUGGGCGCAAGGCUGAUGCCGCCAUGCCGGGUGUGUGAAGAAGGCCUUCGAGUUGUAAGGCACUUUCAGCGGGGAGGCGUUACCCGCAGAAGAAGCACCGGCUAACUCCGUGCCAGCCGCCGCGGUAAUAC